rnacentral:lncRNA from 1 species
UGUGUGUGUCAGCUACAGUUCAGGCUCUAUUUAGGCUUAGUUGGUGCUAGCUCGCUUUUGUGUGCCUGUUUUGCCCUUGUCUCUCCGCCUCUGUGUCUAUUUGUGUCCCCUGUGGGUAGGUUCAGCUUUUGGAGGAACGCCACUUGAUCGUCCGCAGCGGUUAGGGUGUACAUCUGGUCUCCUCUUUGGACUUGCAGUGAGCUGUCUGCUCCCCAGUGGUAACGUACUGCCGCCUCCCUGAGCUUUUUGGCAGUCAGUGUGAGCUGCCUCCGCACUACCAGCACUGCAAAGGGGAUGUCUCCAUAGAUAGCCACUGUGUGACACUCAAAUCAGAUGUCGGGUAAGCCACAUCUCUAGUCACGGCUAUGAUGUUCCUAGGAGCAUCGUCUGGGGCAGCUACAGCCUUCCUGAUCCGGAAUGCAGAGUGUAUAGUUCCCGGGGUCUGCGCUGCCUUUGAUGCCCAUUGUGGUAAGUAGUCUCUGUAUAUGGGGCAACAGUUCUUCCCCGCCGACACGUUCCGGGAUGCCUCGGAGGCGGAUGUUUCUCCUGUGUCUUGCCUCCAGGGUUGUGAUGGUCCGGUUCAGCUGUUGGACAACUUCUGUCAUUUGGGCUUGAGUGGACUGCUGGGUGCAUUCUCUGUCACCCUCCUUGACUUCCAGUGCUGUAACCCGAUGUUGGAGGGCCCCCAUCUCCUUGCGGGUUUCUCGGAGGUCGGCUUUCCAGACCUCCCUCAUUUCUGUCAGUAAGUCUCUGAUGUCACUUUUUUGUCACAGGGGACAAGUCCUCGUCUCACUCAGAGUCUCUAUAUUGGGCCUCCGCUGCUGGUGAGGUAAGGCUUUCCCUGUCAUCCUCGGAGCUCACAGAGGCCUCCUCCUCACUAUGCGCCUCCGGCCAUUUUGGUUUGGGCUAGCGGUGCAGGCCUUUCAAACACAAGCCGAAUGUCGGCUAAUUUAGGCGUCUCUGGCGGGUGGAAUUUUUUAUUCUUUUGCCCCAUUUGGUCUCUUAGGGGGGAUAGUGUGGUUUUUGUCUCCGAUAUGGAGCCGAGUCACUCUUUUGUGCCAUUUUUGUCUCGGUUUGGAACGGAGCUCCACAUGCACACGUCUAGUCCGGUCGGCCACGCCCCCCAAACUCCCCUUUUCAAGUGAGUUUGCCACGAGUUCUUGGAGGGGACUACUUGCCAACCUUUUACCCUGUGACUAUGGCCCCUGCAAUAAAACUGGCUUAUAUACUUCAAACAGAGACCACUCUGGAGCUUAACACCUCUUAACAACUUGGAACGUUUCUCACCCAGAUCAGGGGAUGUAUUUAUGGGGAUAUGUUGUAUUUUGGGGUACUUAUUGGACUUUAUAAAAAUUUGUUUUUUAUGUCUAGGGAUAAUUGUGAUUGUAUUAUCUACCUUAAUUGUGUACUGUAUGUGGGAGUGUCGUUCAUUGUUACAUUGUUUUGAUUGGCUUGUAUACUUUGUGUCCUGUGCCCAACAAGGUACACCUAGGCGUCAACCUUGUUGGGAAACUUGUAUAAAAGGCAGUGUGCCUACAUUAAACUGCUAUUCCAGCUCACACUCCAAAACUGUG